CCCAGGUCCUCACAUUCAGUGAUCAGCACUGAACACAGACCACUCACCAUGGACUCCAGGCUCAAUUUAGUUUUCCUUGUCCUUAUUUUGAAAGGUGUCCAAUGUGAGGUGCAGCUGGUGGAGUCUGGGGGAGGCUUAGUGCAGCCUGGAGGGUCCCUGAAACUCUCCUGUGCAGCCUCUGGAUUCACUUUCAGUAACUAUGGAAUGAGCUGGGUUCGCCAGACUCCAGAGAAGAGGCUGGAGUGGAUUGCAUACAUUAGUAGUGGCAGUAGUACCAUCUACUAUGCAGACACUGUGAAGGGCCGAUUCACCAUCUCCAGAGACAAUGCCAAGAACACCCUGUUCCUGCAAAUGACUAGUCUAAGGUCUGAGGACACGGCCAUGUAUUACUGUGCAAGACACAGUGAGGGAAUGUUAUUGUGA